UACGUAGGGUGCGAGCGUUAAUCGGAAUUACUGGGCGUAAAGCGUGCGCAGGCGGUUCGUUGUGUCGGUGGUGAAAUCCCCGGGCUUAACCUGGGAAUGGCCAUGGAAACUGGCGAACUGGAGUGCGGCAGAGGGGGGUGGAAUUCCGCGUGUAGCAGUGAAAUGCGUAGAGAUCAGGAAGAACACCGGUGGCGAAAGCGCUCUGCUAGGCCGCAACUGACACUGAGGGACGAAAGCUAGGGGAGCGAAUGGG
rnacentral:rRNA from 1 species